GAUAGCACACACCUGUGGUCCUAGAUCCUCAGGAGGGUGAGUAGCUAGGACCACAGGUGUGUACUACUACGCU
rnacentral:miRNA from 1 species